AACGAACGCUGGCGGCAGGCUUAACACAUGCAAGUCGAACGCCCCGCAAGGGGAGUGGCAGACGGGUGAGUAACGCGUGGGAACAUACCCUUUUCUACGGAAUAGCUCUGGGAAACUGGAAUUAAUACCGUAUACGCCCUACGGGGGAAAGAUUUAUCGGGGAAGGAUUGGCCCGCGUUGGAUUAGCUAGUUGGUGGGGUAAAGGCCUACCAAGGCGACGAUCCAUAGCUGGUCUGAGAGGAUGAUCAGCCACAUUGGGACUGAGACACGGCCCAAACUCCUACGGGAGGCAGCAGUGGGGAAUAUUGGACAAUGGGCGCGAGCCUGAUCCAGCCAUGCCGCGUGAGUGAUGAAGGCCUUAGGGUUGUAAAGCUCUUUCACCGAUGAAGAUAAUGACGGUAGUCGGAGAAGAAGCCCCGGCUAACUUCGUGCCAGCCGCCGCUGUAAGAC
rnacentral:rRNA from 1 species